rnacentral:misc_RNA from 1 species
GUGAAUCAUCAAAUUUUUGAACGCAAAUUGCACUCUCUGGUAUUCCGGAGAGUAUGCCUGUUUGAGGGUCAGUUUAAAUAAAAAUCGGUGUGGUUGUUGUCUUUCGUGGUGACGCUCCGGAUUUGGGUCGUUUUGCUUUCGGUUAAGUGAUCUAAAAUUUUGAAUGAUUUUUUCGAAAGUAAAUAAAUUAAUUUACGUUCGUUUGCGAUAUCGCUUAAU